rnacentral:rRNA from 1 species
CAGCCGCCGCGGGAAUACAGAGGGUGCAAGCGUUAAUCGGAAUUACUGGGCGUAAAGCGCGCGUAGGUGGUUUGUUAAGUCGGAUGUGAAAUCCCCGGGCUCAACCUGGGAACUGCAUCCGAAACUGGCAAGCUAGAGUAUGGUAGAGGGUAGUGGAAUUUCCUGUGUAGCGGUGAAAUGCGUAGAUAUAGGAAGGAACACCAGUGGCGAAGGCGACUACCUGGACUGAUACUGACACUGAGGUGCGAAAGCGUGGGGAGCAAACAGGAUUAGAUACCCCGGUAGUCCCUGUCUCUUAUAC